GGUAGAAUUGCUGGGUCAUAGAGUAGGUAAAUAUUUACCUUUAUAAGAAGUUGCCAAGCUGUUUUCCAAAGUGGCUUUUCCAUUUUGCAUUUCCACCCGCAAU
rnacentral:pre_miRNA from 1 species